AGGCCACACUUCCUGCUGCAGGCUGACAGAGCUCCUUGGACAGCCCUGCAUUCCUCUGCACCCAGCACAGCUGUCCCCUACUUCCCUGAUAAGGAUUUUGGUAAAUCUGUAAAGACUGACCCCUGAUAUUGAACCUACUUCAGCCGAGGAAGAGAAAAAGUUGACUGAAGGGCCCAUGGACAUGAGGAUAUACUACAUCCUCAGAGUGCGGUCCUCUGUUAAACAGCUUCUAGCCCAGCUGCAGUGCCCUCAAAGCAGUCCCUGUCUCCGGAGGGCAUCUGCUCAGAUGCCAGGCUGCUAAAGAUUUACAAUCAGUUGUCCCCACAAGGAACCAAGCUACCCAGAGAGAACAGGUCUGGGGAACCAGAUUCUUUUGGGGAUUGGGGACACCAGGGUCUCAGUACAAGUUUUAGGCAAGGACUCUGCCCCUAAACUUUAUUCCCUCAUCCAGGAUCUGAAUGCUCUGAGACUUCUGAACACAAGAGCCAUCCUUCAAAUGCUAACUUCUCCAGGAAGUGGUCAGUCACACACUCUACCAACAGCCCAGAUCUCUCCAGAGCUGCCCACUGCAGUCAACGCCCCAAGGGCUGGGUGCCUGGCACUUCAGUGGAGGUCACUGUGCGCCACCCUCUCACCUGGCACUAACUUGUCACUUUGCACUUCCUCAGGCACUGGCCCCAUGGGGCUGCCUAACCCCAGUGUUUGGGCCCCCCCUUGAGCACUUUCCCUUUCCCCUCUCCCCCUGGGCCACACGCAAUGCUGGUUAUGAUGACCCCGAUGACCCCGUGUCUCCCACACCCUCCUUAACUCCCUUCACUUUCCCCUCCGUAUCUGAAACGGCCUUGGGAUUUGCUGUUUUUUGAUUGUUUUGAGUCAAAGUCCCACUUGAGUAGCCCAGGCUGGUCUGAAACUUACCGGAUCCACAUGGUGUGACACCAUGGUGAGCUAUAACUGAUUUUUGGUCUUUAUUCUUGUCACCUCUACAUUGCUUCUACACUGCAGUCAGAAGAAGCCCCUGAAACAUGAGUCUAAUGGCACUGCUUAGCAGUGCAAACGUUAUUAACAACACUGCUUUUAAAAAUACUUCUGUCUUGGUUACUUUUCUCUUGCUGUGAUAAGACACCAUGACCAAGGCAACUUAAGAAGACAGCGUUUACUGGUGGUUUAGUUUCAAAGGGCUCAGUUCCAUGCCCAUCUUGGCCAGGAGCACGGCAGCAGGCAGACAGGCCUGGUGCUACAUCAGUAACUAAGAGUAUAUUUAGAGCCACAGUGGGAGGCAGAGAGUUAAGUGUAAAUUGUCUGGGCUCUUGGAACCUCCAAGUCUGGCCCUAUUGGCAAACGUCCUUAAACAAAAUCAUACCAUCUAAUCCUUCUCUCCAACUGUUCCAAUAACUGGGGACCCAGGAUUCAAAUACACCAGCCUAUGGGGGCCAUUCUCAUUCAAACCUCUAAAACCCCAAAUGAGCCUAAAAUAAAAAUAAGAUAAACCUAAAAACCAUCGUGGAAAUAGACAUUCAAUAGCCUGGGGGUGGGAGCUAGGAACUGAAAAGCCACAUGAAAAUAAAUCAAUAUGUAUAAGUGUAAUAUAAACCUAUAGUAAUUAGUCAAACAGUGUGGCACUGCUACAGGGGUAGACAGAUCAACGAAGAGGAAGCCAGGGGUGGCACAUGCCUGCAACUCAAGCACUGCACCACUGUGCGACAGUCCCACACCCCACAUGUUUUUAAAUUUGCAUGAAAAAUUUCUAAAACAUAACACUCAACCACCAAAAUUAAGGGUAAAAGUCAUGUCAUACAGCUAAAGAUAGUACAAAACCACGGGGGCGGGGAGGGGGGUGCAUUUCAUUUAUAAAAGAAAAGCGAAUGAAAACUACACAGAGGAUCUGGAGAGAUGGCUCAGAGGGCAAAGCACAAGAGAUCAGAUCCCCAGUGCCUACAUGCAAUGCUCGCAUGGUGGUAUGCAUCUGCAGCCCCAACUCUCAGGAAAUCACACAGGGGGAUCCCUGACGUCUGCUGGCUAGCCAGCCUAGCCCUCGAGAGAGAAAGAGCCUGCCUCAAAACACACACACACACACACACACAUACACAGAGAGGCAGAUGAACAAAACCAGAGGGGCUGGCAAGGUGGCUCAGUGGGCUAGGGAGCCUGGUAUACGCAGCUGCAAAUAACCAAAGACCCUGCCUCAAACACGGUAAGGAUUGACCUCCAAGGCUGUCUGCGACCUCACCCUGUUAUACAGUACACACUGGUGUACCUGUACUCACAUACUUGAACACAUAUGCACAUACACAGUACACACACAUACAAGUGCAUGUUUCAAAAAAAAUAUUUUUAAAAAAUACAAGGUUGAUGGCUCCUGAGAAACCACACCUACAGGUGACCUUAGGCUUCCAUGCAACUGUACACCUGCACACACUUAGCAUCGCACACACAAGCAUCUCUCUCUCUCUCUCUCUCUCUCUCGCUCGCUCGCUCGCUCGCUCGCUCGCUCGCACAUGGACACACAUCCUACAUACAGGCGUUUUACAAGCUUAAGAAAGAUUAGCAAAGAUCACAAAUUUUGGCAAAACCUUGGGCAUGAUUUGGGUCGCCGGGCUCUCUGACAGAACAGACGUGGGUAUAAACUGGCAGACAUUCUAGAGAGGAUGACAAAAUACAAUGCCAAAUUACAACUGUUCCAGUAACUCGCUUCUAGAAAGUGUUCUUGCAGCUAUACCUGUCUGUAUAAAACUGUAUGUGUAUAAUAAAAAUAAAUUGUGCGAUGUUCAUGUAAUAG
rnacentral:lncRNA from 1 species